AGUUAUUCUUAUGGGGUAAAUCUGUGUCAUUGUGGCUCCCGGACUAUCACAUGUCCUAUGCUUCAAUGUUGUUGAAGCUCCAAAUAAUUAGAGCACUAGAAGAAGACAAAAAUGGAUUUUUCUUUUUGGUAUUCAAUCACGAAGAUCAAAUACCAUGCAAACCCGUGGAUUUAGGGAGGAUUGGGGAUGAUUUGAAAAAAUUUAUUUUCCUAAGAAUAGAACCAAAAGAUCCCAAAUUUAAUUACAACUUUGACGGCAAUCAACUUUCUGCAGCACUUUCUAGUAAAAUUAAUCCCUAUGAAGGAGACACUGUACUACACAAAUUCUUACUGAUUAUUGCAAAAAGCUAUAAAGCGAGAGUGGAGAGUGUUGAAUCAACAGAAAUUUUGUUCCAAAAUCUUUACGUCACUUACCAAGGGUCGAAGAGAAUGUAUUGAACUUGACAUUUGAAUGUCCUUUUUGUGCAUGUUUUACAACUGAAGUUGCAUUGGAUAAUAACAUUACUAACGAUAUUGUUCUGGUGUAGAGCAUGAAAUUUUACUUUUGAAAGGUGAAUCUAAUUCGAGUGAGAAACGUUAAGGAUCCCGAUUAUCCCACUAAUUUAUCGAAAGCAGUCAAUGCCGUUAAAGAAGGAAAGAAACCUACUGAAGCUGCUGAUUUGUUCAGAAUUUCAGCAAUAGCGUUAGAUACCGAGCCUGAAAGUGUUUGCUAAAAACAAUUUGUCGAAGGAGGAAUCUGUGAAACAAGCUCUAAAGGAAGUAAUAGAAAAUGGUGAAUCAGUUAUAAGAGCAGCUUGAAUUAUAACAUUGAACGAAAAGUAUAUCUUAGAAAGGUGCAAUUACAUCGAGUUUAAAAAAAUAGACAUGGUGACAGUCAUGAUAUAGGGGGAUCAUGAAAUACAUCAACAAAAACAGAUGGUCAUUGACAUCAACAAGUUCUAGUUUGUUGGUCUUCUAAAACCAAUGUGUCAAUCACCGAGAAGACGAGGAGAGAACGAGAAACGACGUUGAAAGCAGACAGAAAUAAGAUCUUUCUUAUAGUUCAUUUAAAAUGUGUUGUAUGUGACACCCCGGCUAUAAAAUUUAAAAUUGCGUUGUCAAACACUUUUUUUUGUUGUGUUUGUGUUUGUGUUGUAUUCGAAGAGAGGAAAGGUAGAUUUUUGAAAAAAUUUAAAGAGUUCAUCCUGGUUUCA